rnacentral:rRNA from 3 species
UGGGGAAUUUUGGACAAUGGGCGAAAGCCUGAUCCAGCAAUGCCGCGUGUGUGAAGAAGGCCUUCGGGUUGUAAAGCACUUUUGUCCGGAAAGAAAUCCUUGGCUCUAAUACAGUCGGGGGAUGACGGUACCGGAAGAAUAAGCACCGGCUAACUACGUGCCAGCAGCCGCGGUAAUACGUAGGGUGCAAGCGUUAAUCGGAAUUACUGGGCGUAAAGCGUGCGCAGGCGGUUUGCUAAGACCGAUGUGAAAUCCCCGGGCUCAACCUGGGAACUGCAUUGGUGACUGGCAGGCUAGAGUAUGGCAGAGGGGGGUAGAAUUCCACGUGUAGCAGUGAAAUGCGUAGAGAUGUGGAGGAAUACCGAUGGCGAAGGCAGCCCCCUGGGCCAAUACUGACGCUCAUGCACGAAAGCGUGGGGAGCAAACAGG